rnacentral:rRNA from 1 species
CCUACGGGAGGCAGCAGUGGGGAAUAUUGGACAAUGGGCGAAAGCCUGAUCCAGCAAUGCCGCGUGAGUGAUGAAGGCCUUAGGGUUGUAAAGCUCUUUUACCAGGGAUGAUAAUGACAGUACCUGGAGAAUAAGCUCCGGCUAACUCCGUGCCAGCAGCCGCGGUAAUACGGAGGGAGCUAGCGUUGUUCGGAAUUACUGGGCGUAAAGCGUGCGUAGGCGGUGAUUCAAGUCAGAGGUGAAAGCCUGGAGCUCAACUCCAGAACGGCCUUUGAAACUAGAUCGCUAGAAUUAUGGAGAGGUAAGUGGAAUUCCGAGUGUAGAGGUGAAAUUCGUAGAUAUUCGGAAGAACACCAGUGGCGAAGGCGACUUACUGGACAUAUAUUGACGCUGAGGUACGAAAGCGUGGGGAGCAAACAGGAUUAGAUACCCUGGUAGUCCACGCCGUAAACGAUGAUAACUAGCUGUUCGGGCUCUCAGAGCUUGAGUGGCGCAGCUACGCAUUAAGUUAUCCGCCGUCGGGUAGGUACGGUCGCAAGAAUUAAACUAACAAAGAAGUAGUAGACGNGAGAGAGCGACGACGACGACGACGGGAGGAGGAG